AAUUGCUCCGCAUGUGCACUAGCAUUCUAAUGCUUGGAUUGCCUGAGACCAUUAGGAUUGAUCAUCUCCACUAGUUUAGAUGAAGUGUCCACACAGAGACGGGCACACUAGGGAAAUAAAGCAUUUACAUUGUUUUAUUUCUAUUUUUUAUUUCAUUUGUGGAGGGGGUUAAAAGAAUUACUAGAAUACAUGUUUGUAUUCCUAACGCUUUAAUGUUCAUUUUAACCCCUUAAGAGGCCGUUGUUCACGUUCUGAACCAAAACAAAACCUUGAAUUUGGGCUAUAGGUUUG